AGAAUCAACGCUGGCGGCGUGCCUAACACAUGCAAGUCGAACGAGAAAGUGGAGCAAUCCAUGAGUAAAGUGGCGCACGGGUGAGUAACACGUGACUAACCUACCCUUGAGUGGGGGAUAACCUAGAGAAAUCUGGGCUAAUACCGCAUAAUACCUUCGGGUCAAAGCAGCAAUGCGCUGGAAGAGGGGGUCGCGGCUGAUUAGCUAGUUGGCGGGUAACGGCCCACCAAGGCGAAGAUCGGUA
rnacentral:rRNA from 1 species